GCCUCCAUCGUCUAACGGUUAGGACGCGGCCCUUUCAAGGCUGAAACAGGGGUUCGAUUCCCCUUGGGGGCACCA
rnacentral:tRNA from 1 species